rnacentral:rRNA from 1 species
UGGGGAAUUUUGGACAAUGGGCGAAAGCCUGAUCCAGCAAUGCCGCGUGUGUGAAGAAGGCCUUCGGGUUGUAAAGCACUUUUGUCCGGAAAGAAAUCCUUGGCUCUAAUACAGUCGGGGGAUGACGGUACCGGAAGAAUAAGCACCGGCUAACUACGUGCCAGCAGCCGCGGUAAUACGUAGGGUGCAAGCGUUAAUCGGAAUUACUGGGCGUAAAGCGUGCGCAGGCGGUUUGCUAAGACCGAUGUGAAAUCCCCGGGCUCAACCUGGGAACUGCAUUGGUGACUGGCAGGCUAGAGUAUGGCAGAGGGGGGUAGAAUUCCACGUGUAGCAGUGAAAUGCGUAGAGAUGUGGAGGAAUACCGAUGGCGAAGGCAGCCCCCCUGGGCCAAUACUGACGCUCAUGCACGAAAGCGUGGGGAGCAAACAGGAUUAGAUACCCUGGUAGUCCACGCCCUAAAACGAUGUCAACUAGUUGUUGGGGAUUCAUUUCCUUAGUAACGUAGCUAACGCGUGAAGUUGACCGCCUGGGGAGUACGGUCGCAAGAUUAAAACUCAAAUGAAUUGACGGGGUCAUAGCUGUUUCCU